GACGAACGCUGGCGGCGUGCCUAAUACAUGCAAGUAGAACGCUGAAGGAGGAGCUUGCUUCUCUGGAUGAGUUGCGAACGGGUGAGUAACGCGUAGGUAACCUGCCUGGUAGCGGGGGAUAACUAUUGGAAACGAUAGCUAAUACCGCAUAAUAGUAGAUGUCGCAUGACAUUUGCUUAAAAGGUGCAAUUGCAUCACUACCAGAUGGACCUGCGUUGUAUUAGCUAGUUGGUGAGGUAACGGCUCACCAAGGCAACGAUACAUAGCCGACCUGAGAGGGUGAUCGGCCACACCGGGACUGAGACACGGCCCCGACUCCUACGGGAGGCAGCAGGAGGGAAUCUUCGGCAAUGGACGGAAGUCUGACCGAGCAACGCCGCGUGAGUGAAGAAGGUUGUCGGAUCGUAAAGCUCUGUUGUAAGAGAAGAACGAGUGUGAGAGUGGAAAGUUCACACUGUGACGGUAUCUUACCAGAAAGGGACGGCUAACUACGUG
rnacentral:rRNA from 1 species